rnacentral:rRNA from 1 species
GACGUAGGAGGCGAGCGUUGUCCGGAUUCAUUGGGCGUAAAGAGCGCGCAGGCGGCUUGGUAAGUCGGAUGUGAAAUCCCGAGGCUCAACCUCGGGUCUGCAUCAGAUACUGCCCGGCUAGAGGUAGGUAGGGGAGAUCGGAAUUCCUGGUGUAGCGGUGAAAUGCGCAGAUACCAGGAGGAACACCGGUGGCGAAGGCGGCCAUCUGGAUCAACACUGACGCUGAGGCACGAAAGCGUGGGGAGCAAACAGG